rfam:Gossypium hirsutum cultivar TM-1 scaffold6993.1_1, whole genome shotgun sequence
GGGUGCGAUCAUACCAGCACUCAUGCACCGGAUCCUAUUAAAACUACACAGUUAAACGUGCUUGAGCGAGAGUAGUACUAGGAUGGGUGACCUCCUGGGAAGUCCUCGUGUUGCACCCC